rnacentral:rRNA from 1 species
CGGGGGGAUUAGUGGCGAACGGGUGAGUAACACGUGAGUAACCUGCCCUUAACUCUGGGAUAAGCCUUGGAAACGGGGUCUAAUACUGGAUAUUGACUUUACCUCGCAUGGGGUUUGGUUGAAAGAUUUAUUGGUUUUGGAUGGACUCGCGGCCUAUCAGCUUGUUGGUGAGGUAAUGGCUCACCAAGGCGACGACGGGUAGCCGGCCUGAGAGGGUGACCGGCCACACUGGGACUGAGACACGGCCCAGACUCCUACGGGAGGCAGCAGUGGGGAAUAUUGCACAAUGGGCGAAAGCCUGAUGCAGCGACGCCGCGUGAGGGAUGACGGCCUUCGGGUUGUAAACCUCUUUCAGUAGGGAACAAGGCCAGCAUUUUUGUUGGUUGAGGGUACUUGCAGAAGAAGCGCCGGCUAACUACGUGCCAGCAGCCGCGGUAAUACGUAGGGCGCAAGCGUUAUCCGGAAUUAUUGGGCGUAAAGAGCUCGUAGGCGGUUUGUCGCGUCUGCCGUGAAAGUCCGGGGCUCAACUCCGGAUCUGCGGUGGGUACGGGCAGACUAGAGUGAUGUAGGGGAGACUGGAAUUCCUGGUGUAGCGGUGAAAUGCGCAGAUAUCAGGAGGAACACCGAUGGCGAAGGCAGGUCUCUGGGCAUUAACUGACGCUGAGGAGCGAAAGCAUGGGGAGCGAACAGGAUUAGAUACCCUGGUAGUCCAUGCCGUAAACGUUGGGCACUAGGUGUGGGGGACAUUCCACGUUUUCCGCGCCGUAGCUAACGCAUUAAGUGCCCCGCCUGGGGAGUACGGCCGCAAGGCUAAAACUCAAAGGAAUUGACGGGGGCCCGCACAAGCGGCGGAGCAUGCGGAUUAAUUCGAUGCAACGCGAAGAACCUUACCAAGGCUUGACAUGAACUGGAAAUACCUGGAAACAGGUGCCCCGCUUGCGGUCGGUUUACAGGUGGUGCAUGGUUGUCGUCAGCUCGUGUCGUGAGAUGUUGGGUUAAGUCCCGCAACGAGCGCAACCCUCGUUCUAUGUUGCCAGCACGUUAUGGUGGGGACUCAUAGGAGACUGCCGGGGUCAACUCGGAGGAAGGUGAGGACGACGUCAAAUCAUCAUGCCCCUUAUGUCUUGGGCUUCACGCAUGCUACAAUGGCCGGUACAAUGGGUUGCGAUACUGUGAGGUGGAGCUAAUCCCAAAAAGCCGGUCUCAGUUCGGAUUGGGGUCUGCAACUCGACCCCAUGAAGUCGGAGUCGCUAGUAAUCGCAGAUCAGCAACGCUGCGGUGAAUACGUUCCCGGGCCUUGUACACACCGCCCGUCAAGUCACGAAAGUUGGUAACACCCGAAGCCGGUGGCCUAACCCCC